AUGGAAAACGGCAGUGCUCACUUUUCUGAUAACAAAUUUAAGGCCAGGGCAUUGGAAAACAGGCUGGAAGGCACCACCACAAGCUUCAUGCUAUGUCACUGGCUCAGCAGUGGGGAGGAGAAACAGAAUCACAUAACAGAAAUUAUUCCCCACCCAGAGAAGGCAAACUGCAGCGACGAGAAAUACCCAGACUGCUGGUGUAAGAAAGAGGCAACUUCAAAAAGCCACACACGUGAUGAAGUUGAAUGCCAAAGACGCUGCUGUUCAUUUAGAAUUACGAUUUGGACAGCAAGUUGAGGAGCAACGAGACCCAACAGGACAAAUAUUGGGUCAAAUACUGGAAAUAAAAUCCGCCAGUUCAGACUAGUGCUUCUGGGGCAAGUCUGCCACCAGCAAGUCCUAGUGCUUUGCUUUGUAAAAGGCCACUUUCAUGAAUUUCAAGAGAGUACCCUGGGACUGCUUUUCUAAGCCAAACUGUAUGUCUUUAUGACACGACCAUAAAGGUUGAAAUGUGGGGUACAGCUGGCCAAGAACGGUACCAUAGGCUAGCCCCAAUGUACUGCAGAGGAGCAUAAACCGCCAUAGCUGCAUAUGAUAUCGCACAUGAGAAGUCCUCUACAAGAGCAAAAAAUUGGGUUAAAGAACUUCAGAAGCAAGAAAAGCCUAACACUGUCAUAGCUUUAUCAGAAAACAAGGUUGAUCUAGCAAAUAAAAGAGCUGUAGACUUCCUGGAAGCACAGUCCUAUGCAGAUGACAACGGUUUAUCAUUCAUGGAGACAUGAGCUUAAGUAUCAGUGAAUGUAACUGAAAUAUUCAUGGCAAUAGCUAAAAAAUUGCCUAACAAUGAACCACAGAAUCCAGGGGAAAAUUCAACCAGAGAAAAAGGAGGAGACUUUACUGAACACACACAACCAACCAGGAGUCAGUGUUGUAGUAACUAGACCUCCAGUUUGAGCUAGCUGGAAUAUUCUUCUGUUUUCUAAAAGUUAAUGAAAGUGGAAUUGGAGCAUUUAACCAGCCCAGUAUGACUUCCAAAAAGAAGAGACUCAUGAUAGAGUCAAGUUUCUAACACAGAAUUAUUUUAAGUGUUUUGAACUUAAUUUUUAAUAACAUGCAUGUGUCCCUCUGACUAAUGUUUCAGCAACAGGAAGGGAAAAUGAGAACUAUGUGUACACUUGUUUCAUUAAAAGGUUAGGAAUAAUAACUUCUCAUCACUAGGGAACAUAGACAAACGACCGUCUUGACCACACAGUUAACCAGCCAGUUUCUUCACACUGGUACAGCAGUCAC